CCACAUUUAUCAUAAUGGAAACAAGAAUAACACUUCAAAUAAGUUCAGGCUCCUGAAAUUAUGUUCUAGAUAUACUUUCCGAUAACAAAUUAAACAAAAAUUCAAAUCAUAAAUAAGCAUACCCAUUAGAGUUAAAUAGUAGCACAAUAAGAAAAUUGAAAGAGAAACAAAAGGAAAGAGAUGAAGAAAAACCUACUUCGCUGAAGAGAGUCCGAGCUGAUUCGGGUUGAAGUUCGCCACGAAAAGCAGAAAAUUACUCCAAUAUGGCGGCCUUUAUAACUCGGUCCAUCACCGACUAAUAAAG
rnacentral:lncRNA from 1 species